UACAGAGGUCUCAAGCGUUGUUCGGAUUCAUUGGGCGUAAAGGGGUGCGUAGGCGGCGCGGUAAGUCGGGUGUGAAAGUCUCGGGGCUUAACUCCGAAACUGCAUUCGAUACUGCCGUGCUUGAGGACUGGAGAGGAGACUGGAAUUCGAUGGUGUAGCAGUGAAAUGCGUAGAGAUCAUGAGGAACACCAGUGGCGAAAGCGGCUUCCUGGUCCGAAGCACCGACGUUCAGGCACG
rnacentral:rRNA from 1 species